UACGUAGGGCGCAAGCGUUGUCCGGAAUUAUUGGGCGUAAAGAGCUCGUAGGCGGUUUGUCGCGUCUGCUGUGAAAUCCCGAGGCUCAACCUCGGGCUUGCAGUGGGUACGGGCAGACUAGAGUGCGGUAGGGGAGAUUGGAAUUCCUGGUGUAGCGGUGGAAUGCGCAGAUAUCAGGAGGAACACCGAUGGCGAAGGCAGAUCUCUGGGCCGUAACUGACGCUGAGGAGCGAAAGCGUGGGGAGCGAACAGG
rnacentral:rRNA from 1 species